UUUAAAACUACCCCUAUUUUAGUGCUAAAAGACGAUUAUGCCCUUGUUUAAGUUAACCUAAAAAUCUUUUAAUUCACUCUUCUCUCUCUCCGGCAAUAAAGAAUUUGUCUCUCUCGACGGCUCCGGUGAGAAUCGUCUGUUUCUCGACUCCAAGCUCAGACUCCUCAUCGGCGUCGCUGGUUGAGGACUCCUCGUCGUCGCCGUUUGGGAUUUGUUUCAGACCUGCAAAUCAGAGAAUUGAGGUUUUAUUACUCUGAAAUGGCUACAAUUAUUCAGGGAUGGCUUGUAUCACGUUAUUGAAUUUGAGCUUAGCUUUUGAAUUUCUAGUUUUUGGUACUUUAGUUGCUGUUAGGAAUGGCAAGAAUUUCGGUUCAAUUUAAUCAUUCGUGUCUUUCAUCUUUCAAAUGAAUUGACUAAAUUCCAUUGUUUCGGUUGUUUAGGUGAUUUUGUAAGUUCCUUGUUAUCAUCUAAAGCCGCAGUCUCAUGCUCAAAUCUAGUUGGAUAUAAAGCUCAUCUGAAUUGGAGAAUAACACAUGUUGGAUUAGUGUAUUACGUACGUGAGAGAAACUGGUUGCAGAUAAGUGUAGAGAACAAUUGCAUAAUAAUGUGAAGGAGGAGGCUGGAGUUGUGGCUUCCGAAGAGUGGAAAGAGAAGAUGGUGAAGAGUUUUCAGAAAAUGGAUAAAGAAGUUAGCCAACGAGAGUGUAACUUAGUUGUUAGUGAUGAGAAUCAAAGCAAAUUACAAAUCCACGUCUUAAAAAACUUAGGGGAUGUUAUUGGAUUCUAACUUAUAAAGAAUUUAGAUGACUCUGCUAAAAUCAUAGAUUGGAUGAUUUUAAAGGAUUGUUUGAGAUUUUUA